AAAAAAAAAAAAGUCUAAUCGUUUUUGGUUAAAAAAGAUAUUCAAAAUGUUUUCAAAAUGAACUCAUAUAAGUAUUCGAAUACUUUGAAGAAAGAGUCAAUAAAAAAAAAAAUAAAUUAAUAAAAUAACGGGACAUUCAAUACUCAUAAUGGUUAGAUAUCUUUUAGCUAAAGUUACACUUUUCACAUGCAUUUAUCUAUAUUUUUUGAGUAACUGUUGUUCCAUUCAUACAUGUUCAAUUUGAUUUAAGUCUGAAGACUAAAUGAAGGAAGAAGUUGUGAUAACUUCCGGACAGUUGUAUGAAAACCACAUGUGAACAUUUAGGGCUGCAUGUUUAGAAUCAUUAUCCUGAUAAAACAUGAAUGUAUUUUGCAUUCCAAUUUUCUUGCAGAUGCUUUCAAAUUUUCAUAAUAGUUAUAUACUGAUCUAUAUUUAUAAUUUAUAAUUUUCCACUAUAAAUGAUGCAAGAUUCUAGUAAAAUUGGCUGCCUUUGGUAUCUAGAAUACUUGAGAAUUGUGUAGCGACUAUUCAUUGACUUCUAAAAGUCUAGAGCGACAAGUCCAAAGUAGGGUUUAAAUAUCCUUUUAUUUAACUUGAGACCAUUUACAGUUGGCCAAUCCUGGGCUUACAUGAAGUCUCCACUUGGGCUUUAACUUAAGAUAGAAAAUAAGAAACUAAUGCUAACUAACUAAAAACUAGAAAAAGCUGUACAGAAAUAACUAACAGAGUUGGCCCUUAAUUAAACCUCACUGGCGAAUACUAACAGCCACGUAACAAUACGGCUGAACGUAAAGAAAAAAAAUUGACGUGGUCAUUAUUUUUCCCUGAGACUUCUUAUUAAAUACUGGUUCCACCUCGUUUAUAUAAAACGGGAUUUUGAAAAUUCAUUUUGGUAGGGAGUUGUAGGUGGGGAAAAAAAAAAAAAAAAAAAAAAAAAAAAAA